rnacentral:lncRNA from 1 species
AAAAAAGUGGUGUGUCAAAAAGUAUGUCUGACAUAGUAUAAAACCUUUGAAACAAUUGUUGAAAAAUAAUAUAAGGCCCAAAGAGUAAAAAGCAAAAAAAUGAGGUAUAUGACUAAUCAUGUGGGUGCAGUGGAAAAAAAUUAAAAAUAAAAUAAAGCGGGUGUGAGUGAAUAUGAAAAGCGCGAGGUGCAAAUAAGGUGGGUGUGUGCAGCGGAAUCGCGGGUGCAAGUAUUAAAAUGUGCGAUCCAGCGCAAAACAAAUUAUAGGAGAUAAAGUGUGUGCAGCAAGCAGCGCCAGCCACUGCCAUCGAAUCUCUGCCGUACCACAAGCCAUGCCGUCCUCUGCCUACUAUUUAAAAAUGGAAAAACAAAUUUAUAAAAAAAUGUAUAAAAAGAAGAAUAAGACGGUUUCAUCCUCCACCUCCAAGUAUUUGAUCCUGCACCUAUAAUUUUCUAAUAUACCCUUUAUUAAGUUAGGUAUUUAUUUAAUAAUUUUUUGUUUAUUAAAAUUUUUUUUGUCCAAUUGACUGCAUCUCCAUUUUCCUCGUAUCACCAAACAUGCAUUUCUACACUUUGCACCUUUACAUUGACUACACUCUUACACAAUUGACUACACCCCUGCACCCCUCCACCCCAUUUCAUUUUUAUUAAGAGACGUAACACCCC